GACGAACGCUGCCGGCGUGCCUAAUACAUGCAAGUAGAACGCACAGUUUAUACCGUAGCUUGCUACACCAUAAACUGUGAGUUGCGAACGGGUGAGUAACGCGUAGGUAACCUGCCUGGUAGCGGGGGAUAACUAUUGGAAACGAUAGCUAAUACCGCAUAAUAUUGAUUAUUGCAUGAUAAUUGAUUGAAAGAUGCUAUUGCAUCACUACCAGAUGGACCUGCGUUGUAUUAGCUAGUAGGUGAGGUAACGGCUCACCUAGGCGACGAUACAUAGCCGACCUGAGAGGGUGAUCGGCCACACUGGGACUGAGACACGGCCCAGACUCCUACGGGAGGCAGCAGUAGGGAAUCUUCGGCAAUGGACGAAAGUCUGACCGAGCAACGCCGCGUGAGUGAAGAAGGUUUUCGGAUCGUAAAGCUCUGUUGUAAGAGAAGAACGGGUGUGAGAGUGGAAAGUUCACACUGUGACGGUAUCUUACCAGAAAGGGACGGCUAACUACGUG
rnacentral:rRNA from 1 species